rnacentral:lncRNA from 1 species
UUUUUAUAAGAGUCUAUGGAAACUCUCUUUUAAACUCUGUUUGAUCUCGUAAUAGCGUAAACGUCACUUAAAUCGGGAAACAUUAUCAUUACUAAAGUUAAAGCUCAUUACAGAUGAAAACAAAAGUUGUAGUUGUGAUUUUGGUUGUAUUUGAUACCCUAUAGUUGAGAACUGUAAAACAAAACUACCACAAAUUUGACUGCAGUUAACAACAGGAAAUUAAAAGAGCCCAAUUGUUUUAAUAUUUGAAAUUUAAAUAAAGACCCGCAUAUUGUCUCAUAAGGACAGCAUUUGUAUAUAUAAAUCAACAUGCAGACAUCUUAUACGU